rnacentral:tRNA from 1 species
GGGCCCGUAGCUCAGCCAGGUAGAGCGGCGGGCUCUUAACCCGUAGACCAAAGGGGCGGAGGUCCCGGGUUCAAAUCCCGGCGGGCCCGCCA